AAGCGUGUUAACUCAAUGGUUAGAGUAUUGUGCUACGGACACAAAAGUUAUAAGUUCGAUCCUUAUACGCGCUUA
rnacentral:tRNA from 2 species